rnacentral:rRNA from 1 species
GAUGAACGCUGGCGGCGUGCCUAAUACAUGCAAGUCGAGCGAACAGAUGAGGAGCUUGCUCCUCUGACGUUAGCGGCGGACGGGUGAGUAACACGUGGAUAACCUACCUAUAAGACUGGGAUAACUUCGGGAAACCGGAGCUAAUACCGGAUAAUAUAUUGAACCGCAUGGUUCAAUAGUGAAAGACGGUUUUGCUGUCACUUAUAGAUGGAUCCGCGCCGCAUUAGCUAGUUGGUAAGGUAACGGCUUACCAAGGCAACGAUGCGUAGCCGACCUGAGAGGGUGGUCGGCCACACUGGAACUGAGACACGGUCCAGACUCCUACGGGAGGCAGCAGCAGGGAAUCUUCCGCAAUGGGCGAAAGCCUGACGGAGCAACGCCGCGUGAGGGAUGAAGGUCUUCGGAUCGUAAAACGCUGUUAUUAGGGAAGAACAAAUGUGUAAGUAACUAUGCACGUCUUGACGGUACCUAAUCAGAAAGCCACGGCUAACUACGUG